rnacentral:rRNA from 1 species
UACGAAGGGGGCUAGCGUUGCUCGGAAUCACUGGGCGUAAAGGGUGCGUAGGCGGAUUUCUAAGUCAGGGGUGAAAUCCUGGAGCUCAACUCCAGACUGCCUUUGAUACUGGGAAUCUCGAGUCCGGGAGAGGUGAGUGGAACUGCGAGUGUAGAGGUGAAAUUCGUAGAUAUUCGCAAGAACACCAGUGGCGAAGGCGGCUCACUGGCCCGGUACUGACGCUGAGGUGCGAAAGCGUGGGGAGCAAACAGG